rnacentral:rRNA from 1 species
UCAGAAACUCAAAGGAAGUUGACGGGGCCCGCACAAGCGGUGGAGUAUGUGGUUAAUUCGAUGCAACGCGAAGAACCUUACCUGGUCUUGACAUCCCGGAGACCCUUAGGAAACUAGGGGGUGCUUCCAUCUGGAAGAAUCUGGAGACAGGUGCUGCAUGGCUGUCGUCAGCUCGUGUCGUGAGAUGUUGGGUUAAGUCCCGCAACGAGCGCAACCCUUGCCUUUAGUUGCCAGCAGUUCGGCUGGGCACUCUAAAGGGACUGCCGGUGUUAAACCGGAGGAAGGUGGGGAUGACGUCAAGUCCUCAUGGCCUUUAUGACCAGGGCUACACACGUACUACAAUGGCCGAUACAAAGGGCAGCGACACUGCGAGGUGAAGCCAAUCCCGUAAAAUCGGUCUCAGUCCGGAUUGGAGUCUGCAACUCGACUCCAUGAAGUUGGAAUCGCUAGUAAUCGUGGAUCAGCAUGCCACGGUGAAUACGUUCCGGCCUU